rnacentral:rRNA from 1 species
UACGGGGGGGGGCAAGCGUUGUUCGGAAUUACUGGGCGUAAAGGGCGCGUAGGCGGUUCGAUAAGUCAGCUGUGAAAACCAUGGGCUUAACUCAUGGCCUGCAGUUGAGACUGUCGGGCUGGAGUGUGGGAGAGGAGAGUGGAAUUCCUGGUGUAGCGGUGAAAUGCGUAGAUAUCAGGAGGAACACCGGUGGCGAAGGCGGCUCUCUGGACCACAACUGACGCUGAGGCG